rnacentral:rRNA from 1 species
UACGGAGGGGGCUAGCGUUGUUCGGAAUUACUGGGCGUAAAGCGCGCGUAGGCGGACCUGCAAGUCGGGGGUGAAAGCCCGAGGCUCAACCUCGGAACUGCCUUCGAUACUGCGGGUCUCGAGUCCGGGAGAGGUGAGUGGAAUUCCUAGUGUAGAGGUGAAAUUCGUAGAUAUUAGGAAGAACACCGGUGGCGAAGGCGGCUCUCUGGACCGAGACUGACGCUGAGGCGCGAAAGCGUGGGGAGCAAACAGG